rnacentral:rRNA from 1 species
CAGCAGCCGCGGUAAUACGAAGGGGGCAAGCGUUGUUCGGAAUUACUGGGCGUAAAGGGCGCGUAGGCGGCCAUUCAAGUUAGAUGUGAAAGCCCUGGGCUCAACCUAGGAAUUGCAUUUGAUACUGUUUGGCUUGAGUUCGGGGGAGGUGAGUGGAAUUCCCAGUGUAGAGGUGAAAUUCGUAGAUAUUGGGAAGAACACCAGUGGCGAAGGCGGCUCACUGGACCGACACUGACGCUGAGGCGCGAAAGCGUGGGGAGCAAACAGGAUUAGAUACCCCCGUAGUCCCUGUCUCUUAUAC